GACGAACGCUGGCGGCGUGCUUAACACAUGCAAGUCGAACGGAAAGGCCCCCACUUUUUUGGUGGGGGUGCUCGAGUGGCGAACGGGUGAGUAACACGUGGGUGAUCUGCCCUGUACUUCGGGAUAAGCUUGGGAAACUGGGUCUAAUACCGGAUAGGACCAUGGUUUAGUGUCUCAUGGUGGAAAAAUUAUUGUUUUGGUGCAGGAUGAGCUCGCGGCCUAUCAGCUUGUUGGUGGGGUAAUGGCCUACCAAGGCGUCGACGGGUAGCCGGCCUGAGAGGGUGGACGGCCACAUUGGGACUGAGAUACGGCCCAGACUCCUACGGGUGGCAGCAGUGGGGAAUAUUGCACAAUGGGCGCAAGCCUGAUGCAGCGACGCCGCGUGGGGGAUGACGGCCUUCGGGUUGUAAACUCCUUUCGUUAGGGACGAGGCCGCACCUUUUUGGGGUGUGGUGACGGUACCUUUGUUAAGAAGCACCGGCUAACUACGUG
rnacentral:rRNA from 1 species